rnacentral:rRNA from 2 species
AGACCCGAAACCCGGUGAUCUAGCCAUGGGCAGGUUGAAGGUUGGGUAACACUAACUGGAGGACCGAACCGACUAAUGUUGAAAAAUUAGCGGAUGACCUGUGGCUGGGGGUGAAAGGCCAAUCAAACCGGGAGAUAGCUGGUUCUCCCCGAAAGCUAUUUAGGUAGCGCCUCGUGAAUUCAUCUCCGGGGGUAGAGCACUGUUUCGGCUAGGGGGCCAUCCCGGCUUACCAACCCGAUGCAAACUGCGAAUACCGGAGAAUGUUAUCACGGGAGACACACGGCGGGUGCUAACGUCCGUCGUGAAGAGGGAAACAACCCAGACCGCCAGCUAAGGUCCCAAAGUCAUGGUUAAGUGGGAAACGAUGUGGGAAGGCCCAGACAGCCAGGAUGUUGGCUUAGAAGCAGCCAUCAUUUAAAGAAAGCGUAAUAGCUCACUGGUCGAGUCGGCCUGCGCGGAAGAUGUAACGGGGCUAAACCAUGCACCGAAGCUGCGGCAGCGAACGUAUCACUUAAAGCGAUUCAGCGGGUUACGAUUGACGGAGCGAAGC